AAUGAAGUGCCUGAUUAAAAGGGCUAUUUUGAUAGAAUAGAUUAUGUGAAUCCACCUUUAUUA
rnacentral:tRNA from 1 species